ensembl:antisense
GCAUUAAUGAAAUAAACACGCACAGGGUGGACGCACAGUCAGUCGAGUGAACACUGAAGACAGAUUAAGGGGAUUUCUAUGAUAUUCCAGGAUAUUUUACAACAGAUUUGACUUUGUGAUUGUCUCGGCCAGCAGAAGAUCGAGAUCAGCUUUAACCUGAUGGAGUAAAACAGGUGAACUGGAAAGCUCAUGUAAACACUGGCAGCGAUGAAUGGACAAUCCUCCGAGACUCUGGUAAUGAAGAUGUAAAGCUCUGAGUCUCUGGAUGGUUCAGGAUGGAUGAGUCUCUGGCUUCUACAGACCUGUGAUGACCAUUCAUUUCCAGCACAGGUUAAACCACAGUCAAACUUCAUGAGGACUGAUCAUUCAUCAUGCAUUUACGGAUGUGUCGGUUAAACGGUUUUGGUGUUGUCGUGGCAACAGGCGACCGUCAUGAAGCUGAGACGCAUACGCCGCCUAGUGGACCUGAUGGAGAACUGCGUUUGCUGGCAAUACUCCAUUACUUUGUGCUCUGGGCAAAAUAAUUUGACGAGACAUAAGUGAGAAAUCCUGAUCCUGAAGAUCCACUUUCCAGAGUGAAGCUCCAACCUGAUGAAAACACCUGAGGCUUUUAAUUAAGGACUUUCAGCAAACGAGAAGCUUCAAGGCAAAUGUGUGACAAACUCUGUAAUUCAGAUGAUGAUAAUAAAAGAUUGAUUUGACUAAACUGAUGAUGCUUUUACAAAUCGUGUAUGUGUUUCACUGUGAGUUUGAGUUAAUAAAAAGUGAUUUAAAAGUA